GGAAUAUUGGUCAAUGGAGGCAACUCUGAACCAGCCAUGCCGCGUGCAGGAUGAAGGCCCUAUGGGUCGUAAACUGCUUUUAUACCAGAGAAAACCUCAGUACGUGUACUGAGCUGAUAGUAUGGUAAGAAUAAGCAUCGGCUAACUUCGUGCCAGCAGCCGCGGUAAGACGAAGGAUGCAAGCGUUAUCCGGAUUCAUUGGGUUUAAAGGGUGCGUAGGCGGACUGAUAAGUCAGUGGUGAAAUCUCUCGGCUUAACCGAGAAACUGCCAUUGAUACUGUCAGUCUAGAGUAUAGAUGACGUUGGCGGAAUAUGACAUGUAGUGGUGAAAUACUUAGAUAUGUCAUAGAACACCGAUUGCGAAGGCAGCUAACGAAACUAUAACUGACGCUGAGGCACGAAAGUGCGGGGAUCAAAC
rnacentral:rRNA from 1 species